rnacentral:lncRNA from 1 species
UUUGAAUACAGGUGUGAGGUUGCAGUAACCUAAUAAGACCAAAAUCAUUUGAUUUUUGUUUCUUUUUUUUCCAUGUCUGUCCUGUCUGAACUUCGGUGACUCUUCACAAAAUAGUACGCACUUCUGGGGCCCAGUAGCCAACUGGGGUCUUCCCAUUGCUGCCAUCAAUGAUAUGAAAAAGUCUCCAGAGAUUAUCAGUGGGCGGAUGACAUUUGCCCUCUGUUGCUAUUCUUUGACAUUCAUGAGAUUUGCCUACAAGGUACAGCCUCGGAACUGGCUUCUGUUUGCAUGCCACGCAACAAAUGAAGUAGCCCAGCUCAUCCAGGGAGGGCGGCUUAUCAAACACGAGAUGACUAAAACGGCAUCUGCAUAACAAUGGAAAAGGAAGAACAAGGUCUUGAAGGGACAGCAUUGCCAGCUGCUGCUGAGUCACAGAUUUCAUUAUAAAUAGCCUCCCUAAGGAAAAUACACUGAAUGCUAUUUUUACUAACCAUUCUAUUUUUAUAGAAAUAGCUGAGAGUUUCUAAACCAACUCUCUGCUGCCUUACAAGUAUUAAAUAUUUUACUUCUUU